GACUGCUCCGGUGGCCUAGUGGUUAGAGUAUCCAUCUUGGAUGCGGGAGGUCGUUGGUUCGAUCCCCGGCUGAGUCA